CUCUGUACAUGAAUCAUUCGGCUGCCAGCUUUUUGAUUCAUAUGAUUAUUAGUAGUUUCCAUCUGUGUAUGGUCUUUGCAAAAUAUAGUCAACAGUAUUUUUAUUUUGAACAGUGGUGUGUGGUUCCUGAUAGGUUGAAUAAAUACAUCCUUGUGCUGUCAUUAAGGAAAUCCAUAAAAAUAAGAAAUGACAGGUAGUGUUUCAUUACCAAACUUAAUGUGUGAAGUCCAAAAAAUUAUGUUGAUUGUUAUUAUUAUAAUAAGAGGGUCAGAACACUCCUGAUGGACAAACUAAUGUCUUAACUGUUAGUUGUUUGAGUAUCCUUGAGUACCACAACAUGUGGUACCCACAGUUAAUGUCUUAAGAAACAAAGGAGGAGAACAUUAACAACAAUCAACAGUAAAUUAAAGUUCUGGGCUACAACGGAAGUAAGUUCACAAAAUGACAAACAUUAAGAUCAUUAAUAUUUUACAUUUUUGAGUCUGUUUUCCUAUUUAAUACUUACUUCCUCUCUGUAUAACAGAACCAGGGUAGCAAAUUCCAGCUGAAAUUGUCUUAUACAAUAUAAAAAUAUAUAUAGCACCACAUUAACAGAAUUUAAAAAGAAAUGUAAAUAUAGUAUGAUAUUGAUCACAAUAUUAAAUCAUUUUCCCAUUAGCUGUGUUUCCAUAAAAUGCCAAGGGAAAUAAACUUUGAAAAAGUUACAUGAACAAAAAUGUCAGUUACCUGCAUUUCCAUAAAUUCAUUAGUCAUUGGCUGCUUUGUGUCACCAGCGGGUGGUGCUGAAGGCUAUGCUACAACACAGCUCAUAAACAAAAGUACAAGAAGCAUAACAUUCUGUUUUCCACCUAAAAUGGCUGUGAUGUUUUUUUUUUCACUAAUAAAUAAGUUUUCAUUUCCUUUAUGUCCAUUUACUCAAAACCACCUCAACCAUUUUAUAAACCAUUUUUUGAAAUUCAGUAAGUUUUAUUUUUAACUAUAGUGUUUCUAUUAUCCAGUGUGACUCACUUCAUAAAACCACAUACAGCAAUUAUAUAUGUAUUUUUUUUCUUUUUUACCUCUGUUGUUCCAGAAUCACAGGAAUGCAACAUAUCUGCUGAAACAUGGACGAUGAAACAUCUCAACUCAAACCUGACACAUUCUUUAAAACUAAAAAAGUACAUGUCUUCUCUUGUUUUUCCAGCUUCUUCACAUCUAUGACUCCCUGAUAGUUCAAUGUAACUUUUUUGUUUACAUGACUAAUUUUAUUGCACUUGUUUUGAAAGAAAUCAGGAGUGCUAAAAGACAAAGAUAGAUGCUUUAUCUCAAAUGCCAUCAGAUUUGAGCAGUUGGAGGUGAACAUAGACUUCUGGAAAAACACUGAUACAUCAUAUAUCAAUUAAAUGUUGUGCCAGGGGACAUUGAUUCACUUACAAACAGCUGAAAACCUAAUACAAAAAGACAGAUGUAAAACUGGACAAAUCAGCAAAGAUUUGUUAUUUUUACUAGAGAACCAUUGAAACCAUUCAUCCAUUAUGAACAGCUGCAGGUUAGGAGUUUUCUAGUUUCAGGUUUUGUUGUUCAGGGUUUCAGAAUGAUCUGCUGGUUUUUCUUUCAGUAAUUAUUAGUAACUGUCAGCUCAUGAAAAAAUUUAAAUUGUUUUUAGUGUAAAAACUGCUUUUUCAUUGAAUAAUCAAUUACUGAACAGAAAAGGAGGUUAAAAGUCUGCAGCUGUUACAUGAGGAGAAAAAGAAAAAGACAGGAAAUUCAACUACUGACCAAGUAAAAAAGGGGUAAGGUUUUGCAGUGUGUCUGUUUUUACAAAAACUUUACAGAUUUCUUUCCAACAUGAAAGUGAGGGGGUACUAAUGAUUUUCACCAUCAUUUUGAAUCUUCAGAAUGAGACAAAAUAAAAACUGUGUUAAACAUUUGAGGCUCCAACUCCUCUUACAUUUGAAUAAUUACUAAAUUACGUAAGAGAAAACCAGGUUUAAAAGUAACACAAGUAAUCUGUUACUUUAGGAUGAACAAGUGAAGAAGAAACAUUGCUUAUUAUUUAUGAACAUCAUGUAAAUAUCACUGUUUAUCAGAUUAUGGCCACAUCUAAACUUGUUUUUAUUCUGGAUCUUUAAAGGUCUGACUGUUGAAUCUGACCUCCUGAACAAAGGCUCUGUCUGAGAUGC